AGUGAACGCUGGCGGCGUGCCUAACACAUGCAAGUCGAGCGGAGUUUUAUAUGAUUCUAUAUAAGGCUAAGCGGCAAACGGGUGAGUAACACGUAGAAAACCUACUUCAAAAUGGGGAAUACCUUUGAGAAAUUAGAGUUAAUACCGCAUGAUACCAUAAUGUGGCAUCAUAUUAUGGUUAAAGCAACUUGUUGCGUUUUGAGAUGGUUCUGCGGCCUAUCAGCUAGUUGGUAAGGUAAAGGCUUACCAAGGCUAUGACGGGUAUCUGGCCUGAAAGGGUGAACAGACACACUGGAACUGAGACACGGUCCAGACUUCUACGGAAGGCAGCAGUGGGGAAUUUUGGACAAUGGGGGAAACCCUGAUCCAGCGACGCCGCGUGGAGGAUGAAGGCCUUCGGGUUGUAAACUCCUUUUAGAGAGGAAGACAAAUGACGGUACUCUCAGAAAAAGCCACGGCUAACUACGUGCCAGCAGCCGCGGUAAUACGUAGGUGGCGAGCGUUACUCGGAAUUACUAGGCGUAAAGUGUAUGUAGGCUGUUAAAUAAGUCUUUAGUGAAAGGUUCUGGCUUAACCAGAAAUAAUCUGAGGAUACUGUUUAACUUGAGUUUGAGAGAGGGAAAUGGAAUUCCUGGUGUAGCGGUGGAAUGUGUAGAUAUCAGGAGGAACACCAAUGGCGAAAGCAAUUUCCUGGUUCAUUACUGACGCUGAAAUACGAAAGCUAGGGAGCAAACAGGAUUAGAUACCCUGGUAGUCCUAGCUGUAAACGAUGUUCACUAGAUGUAGGAGGUAUCGACCCCUUCUAUAUCGUAGCUAACGCAUUAAGUGAACCGCCUGGGGAGUACGACCGCAAGGUUGAAACUCAAAGGAAUUGACGGGGGCCCGCACAAGCGGUGGAGUAUGUGGUUUAAUUCGACGCAACGCGAAGAACCUUACCUGGGCUUGAACUGCUAAUGGUAAAAGUCAGAAAUGAUAAUGACCCGCAAGGGAGUUAGUAGAGGUGCUGCAUGGUUGUCGUUAGCUCGUGUCGUGAGAUGUUGGGUUAAGUCCCGCAACGAGCGUAACCCUUAUCCUAUGUUACUUGUAUUAUUUUUAAUUAAUUAAUACAAGGUCUCUUAGGAAACUGCCAUUGAUAAAAUGGAGGAAGGUGAGGAUAACGUCAAAUCAUCAUGGCCCUUAUGUCCAGGGCUACACACGUACUACAAUGGUCGGUACAGAAGGUUGCAAUAUCGUAAGAUGGAGCUAAUCCUUAAAACCGAUCUCAGUUCGGAUUGUGGGCUGCAAUUCGCCCACAUGAAGUAGGAAUCGCUAGUAAUCGCAGAUCAGCAGGCUGCGGUGAAUACGUUCCCGGGCCUUGUACACACCGCCCGUCACACCACGAAAGUCAGCUGUAACAG
rnacentral:rRNA from 1 species